UCCAAUACUUUCGGACCAGAAUUGUUAUUUAUAAUGAUGGACAUUUACAUUCAGUUAUUUUUAAGUCUGUAUAUAUUUAUAUGGGAAAUCAUAGUUCGUAAAAUGAUUGUGAACAUUUCCACGUAUGUUAACGUAUGCAUUCACAUAUGCAUUGUGGCGGGGAAUUUGAUUUACUUGUGUUACAGAUGCAAUGCUACUGCCAAAGAGAGUCAACGGAUAAUUUCUCAAAUUCGACAUUUGGGAAAUGUGUUGGGUGACGAUCCCAUUUGUCAAACUAUUCUAAAAGUAUUCACACUUCGAGUCAAUAGCCGGG